rnacentral:lncRNA from 1 species
CCUGAAUUAUUCUGUUAUUUAGGAACAGAAAGUAUCAUCUAAUUCAAAAAGUAUUGCAUGACAAGUAAAAUAACCCAUACAUGCUGCAUUACACAUUAAGCACCCUUACAUUUAUCAUUAUCUCAAGGAAACAAUAGAAAAUCGAAUGGAAGUACUAUGACUAACUUGGAAACUUGAGCACAAUGAAAUGAUCAUUUCAUCAAUAGUUUUCUUCGUAUUCUAGAUGAAUAUACUACUGCAUUUUCCCUCAAACUAUCUACCGUAAUUUCAGCACAAGCCUUGGUAUAAUAUGGCUGCGGCUUGUGACCAUGGGCUCUCUAACUAUCUAGAAAAUCGAAUGGAAAUACUAUGACUAACUUGGAAACUUGAGCACAAUGAAAUGAUCGUUUCAUCAAUAGUUUUCUUCCUAUUUUAAUUGAAUAUACUACUGCAUUUUCCCUCAAACUAUCUACCGUUAUUUGAGCAUGAGCCUUGGUACAAUAUGGCUGCGGCUUGUGACCAUGGCUCUGUAACUAUCUAGAAAAUCGAUUGGAAAUACUAUGACUGACUUGGAAACUUGAGCACAAGGAAAUGAUCAUUUCAUCAAUAGUUUUCUUCCUAUUUUAAUUGAAUAUACUACUGCAUUUUCCCUCAAACUAUCUACCGUUAUUUGAGCACGAGCCUAGGUACAAUAUGGCUGCGGCUUGUGACCAUGGGUUUAAUUGCAAAUCAACCUUCUUCAAGGGGAAAAUAUCGUGUACAUAUUCCCUUGAAAGAUUGUCAAAAUAGAUUCAAUCUAGGCUAAGAGUGGCAAUAGACAUUCAAUUGUGCCUCCACUAUUAAUAACUUAGGUAAUAAAGAAAAUAGCAUCAUGCUGUCAAUAAAAUAAUAAGAAAAAGAAAAUACAUGCUAAAGAGCAUAGUUUUACAUUAUAAAUUUGCAUUCCCAAGAAUCAUAUUCCCCAGAAUGUUAUAUACCCAAGAGUGGUAGUGAGUGAAGGUGAAGGACUAUAUGGGGAUGGAUUGGGUCUUAUUUAGGGAGAGACCAAAUACUCUCUAACUAUCUAGAAAAUCGAAUGGAAAUACUAUGACUAACUUGGAAACUUGAGCACAAUGAAAUGAUAAUUUCAUCAAUACCUCUGAACCAGUCCCAGAAAGUCUUUUACUGUAGCAUCUCUUGUAUAUGGACCUUGCUUCAUUUAUGUUACCCAAUUCCACUUCCAUUGCUAUAUAACCAGUCCAUGUCUCCAAUAUUGAACCACUUAUCAGAAGAUAAUAUUAAAAGAAAGACAAAAGUAGUUUAGAAUUAAUUUAAUGAAAGAGAACAAAACAAAGUAUUUGAUUUAAAAUGAACUAAAUAAAAACUAUCAAAC